rnacentral:rRNA from 1 species
UACGAAGGGGGGCUAGCGUUGCUCGGAAUCACUGGGCGUAAAGCGCACGUAGGCGGCUUCUUAAGUCAGGGGUGAAAUCCUGGAGCUCAACUCCAGAACUGCCUUUGAUACUGAGGAGCUUGAGUCCGGGAGAGGUGAGUGGAACUGCGAGUGUAGAGGUGAAAUUCGUAGAUAUUCGCAAGAACACCAGUGGCGAAGGCGGCUCACUGGCCCGGUACUGACGCUGAGGUGCGAAAGCGUGGGGAGCAAACAGGAUUAGA